rnacentral:rRNA from 1 species
AUGCCGACCUGGGUUGGACGGUCCCCAACGAGUAACUUUAAUUUCCUCCCUGGUCGGAUAUGGAAACGCCUCAAUGGGUGUAGUGAUCGACCUUUGUCAAGGGCUGGUAAGGAGGUUCUGUUGAAGUCAGUGGCUCAGGCCAUUCCAACGUAUGUCAUGAGUUGCUUCCAGAUUCCAUUAAGUAUAUGUGAGAAGAUGAGACAACCAAUAUCUAAUUUCUGGUGGGGUAUUGAAGAUGGAAAGAAAAAGUUACAUUGGAGAUCAUGGGAUUGGUUAUCAUCACCAAAGUAUGUGGGCGGAUUGGGAUUCCGAGACAUGGCCAUUUUUAAUCAAGCAAUGCUUGGAAAACAAUGUUGGAGGUUAUUGACCGAGCCAAACUCGUUGUGCGCACAAGUACUUAGAGGUCGAUAUUAUCCAAAUGGGGACUUCUGA